GGUGCUACGUGUAAAGAAGGGGGACUAUUCUAUGUGUGGGGAGAAAUAUGCAUUGAGCAAGGACAUGUUCUAUAAAUAAGUGGCUGUAUUGAUGAGAGGAGAUUUAUGCUGAAGAAGGGGAAUUCUACUGUGGGAAAUGCAACAUAUACUCUAGGGAGGACAAGCCAUGGUCUGGAACUGGCAGUGUACUGUAGUGCUUGUAGUGUGUGGACCAGUAUUACAUAUCAAUAAUCGUUACAUUUGCAUCUAGAUUGAUU